UACAUAGGGGGCAAGCGUUAUCCGGAAUUAUUGGGCGUAAAGAGUGCGUAGGCGGUUUACUAAGUCUGGUGUGAAAUUUCACAGCUUAACUGUGAAGGGUCAUUGGAAACUGGUAAACUUGAGUACGGUAGAGGUAAGUGGAAUUCCAAGUGGAGCGGUGGAAUGCGUAGAUAUUUGGAGGAACACCAAUGGCGAAGGCAGCUUACUGGGCCGGAACUGACGCUGAUGCACGAAAGCGUGGGGAGCAAACAGG
rnacentral:rRNA from 1 species